rnacentral:rRNA from 1 species
UACGUAGGGUGCGAGCGUUGCCCGGAUUUAUUGGGCGUAAAGGGCGCGCAGGCGGUCACGCACGUCCGUUGUGAAAUCGCUCGGCUCAACUGGGCGGGGUCAGCGGAUACGGCGUGACUGGAGCAAGCUAGGGGGCAAUGGAAUUCCCGGUGUAGUGGUGGAAUGCGUAGAUAUCGGGAGGAACACCAGUGGCGAAGGCGGUUGCCUGGAGCUUUGCUGACGCUGAGGCGCGAAAGCGUGGGGAGCGAACAGG